UACGAAGGGGGCUAGCGUUGCUCGGAAUCACUGGGCGUAAAGCGCACGUAGGCGGACUCUUAAGUCGGGGGUGAAAUCCUGGAGCUCAACUCCAGAACUGCCUUCGAUACUGAGAGUCUCGAGUCCGGAGAGGUGAGUGGAACUGCGAGUGUAGAGGUGAAAUUCGUAGAUAUUCGCAAGAACACCAGUGGCGAAGGCGGCUCACUGGCCGGUACUGACGCUGAGGUGCGAAAGCGUGGGGAGCAAACAGG
rnacentral:rRNA from 1 species